GAUGAACGCUGGCGGUAUGCCUAACACAUGCAAGUCGUACGAGGGUUUUUAACUCUAGUGGCGGACGGGUGAGUAACACGUGAGAAUUUGCCUUUAGAGGGGGAUAACAAUCGGAAACGAAUGCUAAUACCCCAUAUGCUUUCGAGUGAAAUGGAUUUAUCCGCCUAAAGAGAAGCUCGCGGCUGAUUAGCUUGUUGGUAAGGUAAGAGCUUACCAAGGCGACGAUCAGUAUCUGGUUUGAGAGGACGAUCAGACACACUGGAACUGAGACACGGUCCAGACUCCUACGGGAGGCAGCAGUGGGGAAUUUUCCGCAAUGGGCGAAAGCCUGACGGAGCAAUACCGCGUGAGGGAAGACUGCCUAUGGGUUGUAAACCUCUUUUUUCAGGGAGGAACAAAAUGACGUGUACCUGAAGAAUAAGCAUCGGCUAACUCCGUG
rnacentral:rRNA from 1 species